rnacentral:misc_RNA from 1 species
UGUGGGAGCGAGCCUGCUCGCGAUAGCGGCAGCGCAUUCAACAUUGAUGUACCAGACAGUCUGCUAUCGCGAGCAGGCUCGCUCCCACA